rnacentral:lncRNA from 1 species
GAGAGCCGAGAGUGGUUCAAAUCUUGAUGUAUUCCAUGUAACAUAUUACACAAUAACUCAUUACAUUGUAUCAAUCAGGUCAAGGGUUUGAUGUUGGAAUGGUAUUACAAAAAAGUCUGAAGGACCAAACGAGGAUAUGAAAGGUGUAAAAGACCAAAUGUCAAUCCCAGCUAAAAUUUUCCAGAGAUAGCCAGUGGUUCAUGUAACAGAGUAAACAUCCACCACCAUUGCAUGAUAAGGGCAACAAGGAUUCAGUAAGGCCAAAAUAAGCUAGAAAAAUCAAAACAGGGA